AGCGAACGCUGGCGGCAGGCCUAACACAUGCAAGUCGAACGAACCUUUCGGGGUUAGUGGCGGACGGGUGAGUAACACGUGGGAACGUGCCUUUAGGCUCGUAAUAACUCAGGGAAACUUGUGCUAAUACCGAAUGUGCCCUUCGGGGGAAAGAUUUAUCGCCUUUAGAGCGGCCCGCGUCUUAUUAGCUAGUUGGUUGAGGUAAUGGCUCACCAAGGCGACGAUCAGUAGCUGGUCUGAGAGGAUGAUCAGCCACAUUGGGACUGAGACACGGCCCAAACUCCUACGGGAGGCAGCAGUGGGGAAUCUUGCGAAAUGGGCGAAAGCCUGACGCAGCCAUGCCGGGUGAAUGAUGAAGGUCUUAGGAUUGUAAAAUUCUUUAACCGGGGACGAUAAUGACGGUACCCGGAGAAGAAGCCCCGGCUAACUUCGUG
rnacentral:rRNA from 1 species